AGCCCCGUGGUGUAGCGGCCUAGCAUGCGGGGCUCUGGUCCCCGUGACCCCGGUUCGAAUCCGGGCGGGGCUA
rfam:Nanoarchaeum equitans Kin4-M, complete genome.